UACGGAGGAUCCGAGCGUUAUCCGGAUUUAUUGGGUUUAAAGGGUGCGCAGGCGGGAAGUUAGGUCGGCGGUGAAAUUUCGGGGCUCAACCCCGAGAGUGCCGUUGAAACCGGUUUUCUUGAGUGCGGAUGAGGUAGGCGGAAUUUGUGGUGUAGCGGUGAAAUGCGUAGAUAUCACAAGGAACACCGAUUGCGGAGGCAGCUUACUAAACCGUUACUGACGCUCAUGCACGAAGGCGUGGGGAUCAAACAGGAUUAGAUACCCUGGUAGUCCACGCAGUAAACGAUGAUUACUAGCUGUUUGCGAUACAGUGUAAGCGGCUUAGCGAAAGCGUUAAGUAAUCCACCUGGGGAGUACGUUUGCAAGAAUGAA
rnacentral:rRNA from 1 species